rnacentral:lncRNA from 1 species
CAAACCAUUGGUAACACACUAUGCUGCAAUGGACUGAAAUAUAUAUAUAUAUAUAUAUAUAGUCAUAAUUAACAUUAUUAAUGCAUGAACACAAAUAUGACUGUCUGUUGUAACUAAUAACAUAUGUCUGUCUCUAGUUACUGGUUUUCAUUUAUGGGGAGCAGUAUUGGCGACUGGGUUAGUGUGCACUCUUUAUACAGCACUGGGUGGGCUGAAGGCAGUGGUCUGGACCGAUGUUUUCCAGACUGUAGUGAUGUUUACUGGUCAGCUGGCCGUCAUCAUUGUGGGCGUUCAUCAGGCUGGUGGUCUGUCUGAUGCCUGGGUGAAAGUCAGGGAUGGUGGACGCAUCUCUGGGAUUGAGUAUGUUCUCUUUAAAUGGUGUAAAUAGCAUAGCAGCUGGUAGCCAGCACAUCUAACCACCAGGUAGCUCCAUGAACGCCUCUAUUAAACCAAGGGUUUUCAAAAGGUUUGAAGCCAAGGACCCCCAAAUAUAAUGUUGAUCCCCCUUUCGAGGUUAGGCAGCUGUUUAUUUAGAUGCACUGUAUAAAGUCCAUUUAUAGUAAGAGAACAUCAACAGCAAAAUAAUUUAAAAUUUCAUUAGAAAAUAUUUAUUUUGUUAAGUAGAGUGUUUUUUUUUCUCUAGCCACUAUUAAUUUUAGAUAAAUUAAAAUCUAUAUUUAUAUACCAAUUUUCACAAUAAAUAUUGUUCCCAAGUAGAUAAACCAUAUGCAAUUUUGUCCAUAGAAUAAAAUAAAUAUAAUGUUAAUUUAAUGGUUUCCAUCUUCAUAUAGCUGAAACUAGAAUUAUUAUAAAAAUUGGUAAAUGUUUUACAUUUAUUUAAUUAAUAUCUUUAAUGUGUUAACUCGCAUCAUUAACAAAACUAUUUUUUAAUUUUCAUUUCUUAUAUUUUUGACUCUGUAAAUCCCUGUAUUAAAUGAUUAAAGUUUUGACCUUGAGAAAUUACUAAAUUUAGCCAUAUGUGAUUAGACUGCCUCAGCACAAACUCACAGUUCUGACGUUUUUCUCCCAGUUUUGAGCUUAUAUCGUAUGAUUCUGACUUUUUUUCUGGCAGUUGCGAGAUAUUAACUUGAGAUAUAAAAAUUGUGAAAUAUCGCAUCUCUCAGGUAACAGCAUGAUGUUUGUAGCGGUUAUAUUUCACAGAUCAUAUUUCAGUCAAAUAUUUGUUUCGUUUUUGCAUACAUUCUUUCUGUUCUUUUAUUUUUAUUUUUUACUCUGUCUGUUCUUCCUUUUUUUUUAGUACAUAGAUAUAUAUUUUUAAAUAUACUGUAUAUAUUUAACUUUGUAGCUAUUGUAUAUUGUAAACUGUAAAUUCAUACAUUCAUACAUCCUUUUUUUUAAUUUACACCCAUAAUUAAAAAAAAAAUUUUAACUGAGUGGUCAUAAAAACAUUUCACUGCAUAUCAUAUUAUGUAUGGUUAUGUAUGUGACAAAUUAACAUUUUAAUUGAAUAAUGAAUGUAUUAUAGUAGGAUGACAGUCUUCAAUGAGAAUAAGUUAGAAAAAAAAAAAAAAAAAAAAAAAAAAAAAAAUAAAGGUAUUAUCCAAGUGCAUAUGGUGAUUAUUAUUUCUCCAAGUUGUUUUUUCUGGCCUAGCUCUUUUUUUAAUUACCACCAUAAUAAAAAAAAAUUUUAACUGAGUGGUCAUAAAAACAUUUCACUGCAUAUCAUAUUAUGUAUGGUUAUGUAUGUGACAAAUUAACAUUUUAAUUGAAUAAUGAAUGUAUUAUAGUAGGAUGACAGUCUUCAAUGAGAAUAAGUUAGAAAAAAAAAAAAAAAAAAAAUUAUAUAUAUAUAUAUAUAUAUAUACAUCAUGUCGUUCCCCCUCAUUGUGCUACACCAUCUUUUUCAUUUGCAUUUAAACUAUCCAAGCAAAACUCGUCAGUUAAACAAAAUGAUUAAAAAAGCUAAAACAGCAAAAAUGGACUUGAUGACCAGUGGACCAGGACACCACAAAGGCCGGAAAGGGAGGCCAGGUAAUUGAAAAAGAAAAAAACACUGAUUUCACUCAUAUACACGCACACACACAACCUGUUUUUAUUCGCAAGGGAUGAACUGAUGCUUGCACAUAGACACCAAAG